ACCAGCAUGGUGUAGUGGUUUGAGCAUUAGACUAUAAUUCUGAAGACCAGGGUUCAAUUCCCUGCUCAGCUA
rnacentral:tRNA from 1 species